GGCGAGUGAAGCGGCAACAGCUCAAAUUUGAAAGCCCGCGGGCGUUGUAAUUUGCAGGCGGAUGUUUUGGGGCGGGCGCUGUCUACGUUCCUUGGAACAGGACGCCGCAGAGGGUGAGAGCCCCGUGCGAUGGCGCCUUUAACCGCGUAAAACUCCGCCGACGAGUCGAGUUGUUUGGGAAUGCAGCUCCAAGUGGGUGGUAAAUUCCAUCUAAAGCUAAAUACUGGCGAGAGACCGAUAGCGAACAAGUACAGUGAUGGAAAGAUGAAAAGCACUUUGAAAAGAGAGUGAAACAGCACGUGAAAUUGUUGAAAGGGAAGGGUAUGCGAUUAGCGGCCAGCAGGAGGUGCGUUCUCGCGAAAAGGCCGUGCACCGUCUUCGGACACCGUGCGCGGAGAUGGCGAGGGGGCGCCUGAGGUCUGCGACUCGAGGUUGCUGGCGUAAUGAUUGCAUACCACCCGUCUUGAAACACGGACCA
rnacentral:rRNA from 1 species